GGGUUGUGAGGUUAAGUGACUAAGCGUACACGGUGGAUGCCUAGGCAGUCAGAGGCGAUGAAGGGCGUGCUAAUCUGCGAAAAGCGUCGGUAAGGUGAUAUGAACCGUUACAACCGGCGAUACCCGAAUGGGGAAACCCAGUGUGUUUCGACACACUAUCAUGUCAUGAAUACAUAGUGGCAUGAGGCGAACCGGGGGAACUGAAACAUCUAAGUACCCCGAGGAAAAGAAAUCAACCGAGAUUCCCCCAGUAGCGGCGAGCGAACGGGGGAGGAGCCCAGAACCUGAAUCGGCUUGUGUGUUAGUGGAAGCGUCUGGAAAGUCGCGCAGCAAAGGGUGAUAGCCCCGUACACUAAAAUGCACAGGUCGUGAGUUCGAUGAGUAGGGCGGGACACGUGACAUCCUGUCUGAAUAUGGGGGGACCAUCCUCCAAGGCUAAAUACUCCUGACUGACCGAUAGUGAACCAGUACCGUGAGGGAAAGGCGAAAAGAACCCCGGCGAGGGGAGUGAAAUAGAACCUGAAACCGUGUACGUACAAGCAGUGGGAGCACCUUCGUGGUGUGACUGCGUACCUUUUGUAUAAUGGGUCAGCGACUUAUAUUUUGUAGCAAGGUUAACCGUAUAGGGGAGCCGUAGGAAACCGAGUCUUAACUGGGCGAUUAGUUGCAAGGUAUAGACCCGAAACCCGGUGAUCUAGCCAUGGGCAGGUUGAAGGUUGGGUAACACUAACUGGAGGACCGAACCGACUAAUGUUGAAAAAUUAGCGGAUGACUUGUGGCUGGGGGGUGAAAGGCCAAUCAAACCGGGAGAUAGCUGGUUCUCCCCGAAAGCUAUUUAGGUAGCGCCUCGUGAACUCAUCUUCGGGGGUAGAGCACUGUUUCGGCUAGGGGGCCAUCCCGGCUUACCAAACCGAUGCAAACUCCGAAUACCGAAGAAUGUUAUCACGGGAGACACACGGCGGGUGCUAACGUCCGUCGUGAAGAGGGAAACAACCCAGACCGCCAGCUAAGGUCCCAAAGUCAUGGUUAAGUGGGAAACGAUGUGGGAAGGCACAGACAGCCAGGAUGUUGGCUUAGAAGCAGCCAUCAUUUAAAGAAAGCGUAAUAGCUCACUGGUCGAGUCGGCCUGCGCGGAAGAUGUAACGGGGCUAAACCAUGCACCGAAGCUGCGGCAGCGACGCUUAGGCGUUGUUGGGUAGGGGAGCGUUCUGUAAGCCGUUGAAGGUGGCCUGUGAGGGUUGCUGGAGGUAUCAGAAGUGCGAAUGCUGACAUAAGUAACGAUAAAGCGGGUGAAAAGCCCGCUCGCCGGAAGACCAAGGGUUCCUGUCCAACGUUAAUCGGGGCAGGGUGAGUCGACCCCUAAGGCGAGGCUGAAAAGCGUAGUCGAUGGGAAACAGGUUAAUAUUCCUGUACUUGGUGUUACUGCGAAGGGGGGACGGAGAAGGCUAGGCUAGCCGGGCGACGGUUGUCCCGGUUUAAGCGUGUAGGGGGUGUGACCUGGUAAAUCCGGUUGCAUAUUAACCCUGAGGCGUGAUGACGAUGCACUACGGUGCAGAAGUAGUUGAUGCCCUGCUUCCAGGAAAAUCCUCUAAGCUCCAGGUAACAUUAAAUCGUACCCCAAACCGACACAGGUGGUCAGGUAGAGAAUACCAAGGCGCUUGAGAGAACUCGGGUGAAGGAACUAGGCAAAAUGGUGCCGUAACUUCGGGAGAAGGCACGCUGGCAUGUAGGUGAAGUCCCUUGCGGAUGGAGCUGAAGCCAGUCGAAGAUACCAGCUGGCUGCAACUGUUUAAUAAAAACACAGCACUGUGCAAACACGAAAGUGGACGUAUACGGUGUGACGCCUGCCCGGUGCUGGAAGGUUAAUUGAUGGGGUCAGCCGCAAGGCGAAGCUCUUGAUCGAAGCCCCAGUAAACGGCGGCCGUAACUAUAACGGUCCUAAGGUAGCGAAAUUCCUUGUCGGGUAAGUUCCGACCUGCACGAAUGGCGUAAUGAUGGCCAGGCUGUCUCCACCCGAGACUCAGUGAAAUUGAACUCGCUGUGAAGAUGCAGUGUACCCGCGGCAAGACGGAAAGACCCCGUGAACCUUUACUAUAGCUUGACACUGAACAUUGAGCCUUGAUGUGUAGGAUAGGUGGGAGGCUUUGAAGCGUGGACGCCAGUCUGCGUGGAGCCAUCCUUGAAAUACCACCCUUUAAUGUUUGAUGUUCUAACUCUGCCCCGUAAUCCGGGGUGAGGACAGUGUCUGGUGGGUAGUUUGACUGGGGCGGUCUCCUCCCAAAGAGUAACGGAGGAGCACGAAGGUUAGCUAAUCACGGUCGGACAUCGUGAGGUUAGUGCAAAGGCAUAAGCUAGCUUGACUGCGAGAGUGACGGCUCGAGCAGGUACGAAAGUAGGUCUUAGUGAUCCGGUGGUUCUGAAUGGAAGGGCCAUCGCUCAACGGAUAAAAGGUACUCCGGGGAUAACAGGCUGAUACCGCCCAAGAGUUCAUAUCGACGGCGGUGUUUGGCACCUCGAUGUCGGCUCAUCACAUCCUGGGGCUGAAGUAGGUCCCAAGGGUAUGGCUGUUCGCCAUUUAAAGUGGUACGCGAGCUGGGUUUAGAACGUCGUGAGACAGUUCGGUCCCUAUCUGCCGUGGGCGUUGGAAGAUUGAGAGGGGUUGCUCCUAGUACGAGAGGACCGGAGUGAACGCACCACUGGUGUUCGGGUUGUCAUGCCAAUGGCAUUGCCCGGUAGCUAAGUGCGGAAAAGAUAAGCGCUGAAAGCAUCUAAGCGCGAAACUUGCCUCAAGAUGAGUCUUCCCUGGGCCUUUAAGGUCCCUGAAGGAACGUUUAAGACUAAGACGUUGAUAGGCUGGGUGUGUAAGUGCAGCGAUGCAUUGAGCUAACCAGUACUAAUGAUCCGUGAGGCUUAACCUUACAACACCGAAGGUGUUUUAG
rnacentral:rRNA from 1 species